AUAUAUAUAUAUAUAUAUAUGUUUGUAUAUAUAUCACAGGAAAUAAACAGGUAACAGCAAGUAUUUGGAUUCUAAAGCCCCGAUUUUUUCCCUAUUUCAUUCCCGAAUCUCCCAGUUAGUUGACAAUGAAUACUAAUGACUAUAUAAUAGUGAAUUGUGAUGUGUGUUUUGACUGUACUAUUAAAUUCAUUUUUACUACAUUGUAUAGUCUCUAUAUAUUUAGUUAACCCUUAAUCUUUAACUUAUCUUUGCACUUUUAGUGUUUAUUUAUUCCUUAUAUAAUAACUUAGUAUUAAUUUUUAUAUUUAAUUUUGAAGCACUCAAGAUAAAUUAAAUAUAUGUAUCCCUUUAUAGUAUAUUUUUAACAUAGCAUCGAAUGUGUUUUCUGCCUGAAAAAUUGCGUCAAAUGAACGAAAGUAUUUUUUAGGAAAGCUAAUAUUUCUUUUUGUAGUUGGGCGCCAUAGUGUUUUAAUUUUUGCCGUUUUCAGUUUAAGAAACAUUAAUAUGAAACAAAUACAAUAUAAGUUUUGAAAGAGACAGAUCAUAUCGAUAAUUCAUUGACAACAGAAUAUUGCUAUUUAACAAUAGAUUCAAAUUUGUGAAUUAGCAUUCUCGUUAUGGUACCACAAAUCAAAUACUGGAACUGCAACAUUUAUCAAAUAAGCAAUGUUUCUCUAUAUUAAAGGAAAUUAUUCCCUUUUCUUUUUUGUAGCGACAAGGCGAAAUUAUUGUAAGGUGAUAUUAUAAUAUAGAAACAUAACGUACGUAAGUUUACGAAUUAUUAUUCACAAAACUGAAGAUAAUAUAUUUUAUUCCAAAAAUAGGAAACUGCAUGAAGAACUCGGAUCUGUGAAAGUUUAUGCCUUCCUUUUUCUAUGUUUACCUUAUGUAAUUCGCUUUUUACUUUAUUUAGCCAGCACCGCCUACAAACCACAGCAAGAAAUAGAAGACCCACAAAGUAAACUACUGAAAGAAAUAUGAGCGUCGGUUUUUUAGGUUUUUAUUCUACAAGUAUAUAUUUUUGAUGCACUGUAAUAUAUGAAUAAAUUUGAGUGUUGUCUUAGAAACAAUACUAAGGAGUCAGUAAAAUAGAAUUAGUUCAAAAUAGUUAAGUUGAAAUGCUAAUUUCGUGAAGUGAACACUAAUUUAAAGUAACUCAUUCGAUUGGUCGUUUGAAAAUAUCAUAAAUCACUUUUCAGUGAUAUAAUAUAUUAGGUUGUCCCAAAAGUUCGUAAACACUUGCGAAAAUUGAAUUUUUACUCGCCAAGUACUAACAAAAACAACAAAGAUUAUUCCUCAAGAUAAAGGCCGUUAUUUUCCAAGACUUUCUACGAACUUUUGGGACAACCUUAUAUAUUAAUAUUAGUUAAAAUUUUAAUAUACAUACCUUUUUUCUAUACUGUUAUCAAACAUUAUAUUAGAGAGAUCGUAUUUUCUACUAUUUAGUUUGUUGACUACUAGUGAGACCCACAUAUCGUGUGUAGGCUCUGCUAUAUAAAGAGGACAUUUGAUUUGGUGUUCAAAUUUAAGUUGUGAAAACGAGGCGUAGUAAGAAAAUAUUGAAAGACUGGGCAAGGCAGAGUCUUUCUUGGGUUUAUUAUAAUAAAAAUCAAGAGACGUGAUUGGGGACUGUUGCCAAUAUGAGUGAGCAGGAAUCAUUGUAUUUGUAUUAGACGAGAAAUAAAAUAAAUAAAAAGUGCAUCUAUAAAUUAGGGGUAGUUGUGGUUCUUCUAGGACUGUCUCCCACGCGGUUGGAUGGGACAUUUUGUUUUGUAGUUUGGCAACGGCGUCAAUUGUAUUUCAGCUUCAGGUAGGGUCAUUAAUAGAGUUUACUUCUUGGAGGUUUACGGUGCAUUGUUGUGAGGCAGUACUGAAAAUAAUAUGGAUUUGUAGCUGUUACUGGAGGUUAAUAGAUUUUGUAAGCCUUGUAUCUUGGAACAGUGGAAUCCUAUCUUUUGUAGCUGUAGCAUAUACAGAGGUUUUAGCUAUGAUUUCUUAAUAUACAAAGCGGGUGUGGUAAAAUGUUAUAUUUUGAUAUGUCACGAAAUUAGGGUGUCAUCUGUAUAUUAUCAAUUUCUAUAUUCAUGUAAUGGCUGCAAAACUACAUUAUAAGGUUAGGAUGUGUAGUUGAUGAAUUGUGUCCACAAACAAA